AUCGAACGCUGGCGGCAGGCCUAACACAUGCAAGUCGAGCGGAGCGGCGGAAGGGUGAGUAACGCCUAGGAAUCUGCCUGGUAGUGGGGGAUCACGUCCGGAAACGGGCGUUCAUACCGCAUACUAUCAGAUGAGCCUGGGUCGGAUUAGCCAGGUGGUAGGGGAAAGGCCUCCCAAGGCGGCGAUCCGUAUCUGGUCUGAGAGGAUGAUCAGUCACACUGGAACUGAGACACGGUCCAAACUCCUACGGGAGGCAGCAGUGGGGAAUAUUGGACAAUGGGCGAAAGCCUGAUGCAGCCAUGCCGCGUGAGUGAAGAAGGUCUUCGGAUUGUAAAGCACUUUAGUUGGGGAAGCGUUACCAACACAGUAAGCACCGGCUAACUUCGUGCCAGCAGCCGCGGUAAUAC
rnacentral:rRNA from 1 species